AUGAUAAUAACCAAAUUAUUAUUGCCUCUAGGGCAUAUUUCCAAUAGGAAGACGCGAUUUACAGGAUCUGAUGCUCUUAUCCCCGCCUCGGGCCAUGCUUCCUCGUCGCCAACUACGGCCACCUCAUGUAUACUCUCUGACUCGCGGCCGCAUCCGGCCUGCAGCCGCCAUCUGACCUUUACGUACGACGACGGCGGCACCGCCGACGACUACCACUCCACCAUCCGCUCCCUCAACUCGCACGGACGCCGCUACGUUCCCCUCAAAUCCCUCGGCCAGGAGAUGGUUGCGGCGGCUGGGGUGGAAGAGGGGGACAUCGUGCUCGAGAUUGGCCCGGGGACGGGCUCGCUCACCGCCAUCAUUGAAGAAGAUAUCACAAAAUUUCACCUUCACUCACAUUUUGUCCCUAUCCUUGAGGACAAAUCCCAUGGCAAGGUUGUGUCAAACUUACCAUUCAGUGUCAGCACUGAAGUUGACGAACAAAUUCCCCCAAUGGGUGAUGAAACAACACUAAACCUUGCAAAUGCUUCAAUACAAACACCAGAGUACCAACCUACUAUCAAUUUGUUUGCUAAUUUCUACUGUGGGAAGAGGGUCUUCCUUUAG
rnacentral:rRNA from 1 species